CGCAAGCCUGACGGAGCAAGACCGCGUGGGGGAGGAAUGCCUUAGGGUUGUAAACCCCUUUUAUCUGGGAAGAACAAAAUGACGGUACCUGAGGAAUCAGCAUCGGCUAACUCCGUGCCAGCAGCCGCGGUAAUACGGAGGAUGCAAGCGUUAUCCGGAAUUAUUGGGCGUAAAGAGUCCGUAGGUGGUUCAUCAAGUCUGCUGUUAAAGCGUGCAGCUCAACUGCAUAUAGGCAGUGGAAACUGUUGAACUAGAGUAUGGUAGGGGUAGGGGGAAUUCCCAGUGUAGCGGUGAAAUGCGUAGAGAUUGGGAAGAACACCGGUGGCGAAAGCGCCCUACUGGGCCAUAACUGACACUGAGGGACGAAAGCUAGGGUAGCG
rnacentral:rRNA from 1 species